rnacentral:rRNA from 1 species
GCAUAUCAAUAAGCGGAGGAAAAGAAACCAACAGGGAUUGCCCUAGUAACGGCGAGUGAAGCGGCAACAGCUCAAAUUUGAAAUCUGGCUCUCUUUGGGGGUCCGAGUUGUAAUUUGCAGAGGAUGCUUUGGCAUUGGCGGCGGUCUAAGUUCCUUGGAACAGGACAUCACAGAGGGUGAGAAUCCCGUACGUGGUCGCCUGCCUUUGCCGUGUAAAGCUCCUUCGACGAGUCGAGUUGUUUGGGAAUGCAGCUCUAAAUGGGAGGUAAAUUUCUUCUAAAGCUAAAUACUGGCCAGAGACCGAUAGCGCACAAGUAGAGUGAUCGAAAGAUGAAAAGUACUUUGGAAAGAGAGUCAAAAAGCACGUGAAAUUGUUGAAAGGGAAGCGCUUGCAGCCAGACUUGCCCGCAGUUGCUCACCUAGGCUUUGGCCUGGGGCACUCUUCUGCGGGCAGGCCAGCAUCAGUUUGGGCGGUUGGAUAAAGGCCUCUGUCACGUAUCUCCCUUCGGGGUGACCUUAUAGGGGAGGCGCAAUGCAACCAGCCCGGACUGAGGUCCGCGCUUCGGCUAGGAUGCUGGCGUAAUGGCUGUAAGCGGCCCGUCUUGAAACACGGACCAAGGAGUCUAACAUCUAUGCGAGUGUUUGGGUGUCAAGCCCGAGCGCGCAAUGAAAGUGAACGGAGGUGGGAACCCUUUGGGUGCACCAUCGACCGAUCCUGAUGUCUUCGGAUGGAUUUGAGUAAGAGCAUAGCUGUUGGGACCCGAAAGAUGGUGAACUAUGCUUGAAUAGGGUGAAGCCAGAGGAAACUCUGGUGGAGGCUCGCAGCGGUUCUGACGUGCAAAUCGAUCGUCAAAUUUGGGCAUAGGGGCGAAAGACUAAUCGAACCAUCUAGUAGCUGGUUCCUGCCGA